rnacentral:rRNA from 1 species
AUCUAAUAGCUUUGAAAGACCUGCAAAGGUAUGCUAAGAGAUGGGCUUGCGGCACAUUAGUUAGUUGGUAAGGUAAAAGCUUACCAAGACUAUGAUGUGUAGCUGGACUGAGAGGUUGAACAGCCACAUUGGGACUGAGACACGGCCCAAACUCCUACGGGAGGCAGCAGUAAGGAAUUUUCGGCAAUGGAGGAAACUCUGACCGAGCAACGCCGCGUGAACGAAGAAGUAUUUCGGUACGUAAAGUUCUUUUAUUAAAGAAGAAAAAAUGAUGGAAAAAUCAUUCUGACGGUAUUUAAUGAAUAAGCCCCGGCUAACUAUGUGCCAGCAGCUGCGGUAAUACAUAGGGGGCAAGCGUUAUCCGGAUUUAUUGGGCGUAAAGGGUGCGUAGGCGGUUAAAUAAGUCUAUGGUUUAAUUUCAAUGCUUAACAUUGUCACGCUAUAGAAACUGUUUGACUAGAGUUGGAUAGAGGCAAGCGGAAUUCCAUGUGUAGCGGUAAAAUGCGUAAAUAUAUGGAGGAACACCAGUAGCGAAGGCGGCUUGCUGGGUCUUAACUGACGCUGAGGCACGAAAGCAUGGGGAGCAAACAGGAUUAGAUACCCUGGUAGUCCAUGCCGUAAACGAUGAGUACUAAGUAUUGGGUUAAACCAGUGCUGAAGUUAACGCAUUAAGUACUCCGCCUGAGUAGUACGUACGCAAGUAUGAAACUUAAAGGAAUUGACGGGACUCCGCACAAGCGGUGGAUCAUGUUGUUUAAUUCGAAGAUACACGAAAAACCUUACCAGGUCUUGACAUAGCUUUGCAAAGUUAUAGAAAUAUAGCGGAGGUUAUCAGAGUUACAGGUGGUGCAUGGUUGUCGUCAGCUCGUGUCGUGAGAUGUUGGGUUAAGUCCCGCAACGAGCGCAACCCUUAUUACUAGUUGCCAGCAUUCAGUUGGGGACUCUAGUGAGACUGCCAAUGAUAAAUUGGAGGAAGGUGGGGAUUACGUCAAAUCAUCAUGCCCCUUAUGACCUGGGCUACAAACGUGAUACAAUGGCUGUUACAAAGAGUAGCUGAAGCGCAAGUUUUUAGCCAAUCUCAAAAAAACAGUCUCAGUUCGGAUUGAAGUCUGCAACUCGACUUCAUGAAGUCGGAAUCGCUAGUAAUCGCGAAUCAGCAUGUCGCG